AUGAACGCUAGCUACAGGCUUAACACAUGCAAGUCGAGGGGCAGCAUCAUCAAAGCUUGCUUUGAUGGAUGGCGACCGGCGCACGGGUGAGUAACACGUAUCCAACCUGCCGACAACACUGGGAUAGCCUUUCGAAAGAAAGAUUAAUACCGGAUGGCAUAGUUUUCCCGCAUGGGAUAAUUAUUAAAGAAUUUCGGUUGUCGAUGGAGAUGCGUUCCAUUAGGCAGUUGGCGGGGUAACGGCCCACCAAACCAACGAUGGAUAGGGGUUCUGAGAGGAAGGUCCCCCACAUUGGAACUGAGACACGGUCCAAACUCCUACGGGAGGCAGCAGUGAGGAAUAUUGGUCAAUGGACGAGAGUCUGAACCAGCCAAGUAGCGUGAAGGAUGACUGCCCUAUGGGUUGUAAACUUCUUUUAUACGGGAAUAAAGUGAGCCACGUGUGGCUUUUUGUAUGUACCGUAUGAAUAAGGAUCGGCUAACUCCGUGCCAGCAGCCGCGGUAAUACGGAGGAUCCGAGCGUUAUCCGGAUUUAUUGGGUUUAAAGGGAGCGUAGGCGGGUUGUUAAGUCAGUUGUGAAAGUUUGCGGCUCAACCGUAAAAUUGCAGUUGAUACUGGCGACCUUGAGUGCAACAGAGGUAGGCGGAAUUCGUGGUGUAGCGGUGAAAUGCUUAGAUAUCACGAAGAACUCCGAUUGCGAAGGCAGCUUACUGGAUUGUAACUGACGCUGAUGCUCGAAAGUGUGGGUAUCAAACAGGAUUAGAUACCCUGGUAGUCCACACAGUAAACGAUGAAUACUCGCUGUUGGCGAUAUACAGUCAGCGGCCAAGCGAAAGCAUUAAGUAUUCCACCUGGGGAGUACGCCGGCAACGGUGAAACUCAAAGGAAUUGACGGGGGCCCGCACAAGCGGAGGAACAUGUGGUUUAAUUCGAUGAUACGCGAGGAACCUUACCCGGGCUUAAAUUGCAACUGACGGAAUCGGAAACGGUUCUUUCUUCGGACAGUUGUGAAGGUGCUGCAUGGUUGUCGUCAGCUCGUGCCGUGAGGUGUCGGCUUAAGUGCCAUAACGAGCGCAACCCUUACGGGUAGUUACCAUCAGGUUAUGCUGGGGACUCUACCCGGACUGCCGUCGUAAGAUGUGAGGAAGGUGGGGAUGACGUCAAAUCAGCACGGCCCUUACGUCCGGGGCUACACACGUGUUACAAUGGGGGGUACAGAAGGCAGCUACACGGCGACGUGGUGCUAAUCCCAAAAGCCUCUCUCAGUUCGGAUUGGAGUCUGCAACCCGACUCCAUGAAGCUGGAUUCGCUAGUAAUCGCGCAUCAGCCACGGCGCGGUGAAUACGUUCCCGGGCCUUGUACACACCGCCCGUCAAGCCAUGAAAGCCGGGGGUACCUGAAGUACGUAACCGCGAGGAGCGUCCUAGGGUAAAACUGGUGAUUGGGGCU
rnacentral:rRNA from 1 species